GGCUGGUCCAAAGGUAGCAAGUUAUCUCACUUGAUUGUGAGUUCACAGUCAGUUACAGAUUGAACUCCUUGUUCUACUACUUUUCCCCCUCCUCACUACUGCACUUGACUAGUCUUUA
rnacentral:Y_RNA from 1 species